rnacentral:rRNA from 1 species
GAUGAACGCUAGCUACAGGCUUAACACAUGCAAGUCGAGGGGAAACGGCAUUGAGUGCUUGCACUCUUUGGACGUCGACCGGCGCGCGGGUGAGUAACGCGUAUCCAACCUUCCCAUUACUGUGGGAUAACCUGCCGAAAGGCAGACUAAUACCGCAUAGUCUUCGAUGACGGCAUCAGAUUUGAAGUAAAGAUUUAUCGGUAAUGGAUGGGGAUGCGUCUGAUUAGCUUGUUGGCGGGGUAACGGCCCACCAAGGCUACGAUCAGUAGGGGUUCUGAGAGGAAGGUCCCCCACAUUGGAACUGAGACACGGUCCAAACUCCUACGGGAGGCAGCAGUGAGGAAUAUUGGUCAAUGGACGGAAGUCUGAACCAGCCAAGUAGCGUGCAGGAUGACGGCCCUAUGGGUUGUAAACUGCUUUUGUAUGGGGAUAAAGUUAGGGACGUGUCCCUAUUUGCAGGUACCAUACGAAUAAGGACCGGCUAAUUCCGUG